CACGUAGGGGGCGAGCGUUGUCCGGAUUUAUUGGGCGUAAAGAGCUCGUAGGCGGCUCAGUAAGUCGGGUGUGAAAACUCCAGGCUCAACCUGGAGACGCCACCUGAUACUGCUGUGGCUAGAGUCCGGUAGGGGAGCAUGGAAUUCCUGGUGUAGCGGUGAAAUGCGUAGAGAUCCGGAGGAAUACCAGUGGCGCAAGCGGCGCUCUGGGUCGAGCCUGACACUGAGACGCGAAGGCAUGGGGAGCGAACGGG
rnacentral:rRNA from 1 species